rnacentral:rRNA from 1 species
AAUCAACGCUGGCGGCGUGCCUAACACAUGCAAGUCGAACGCGAAAGGGGCUUCGGCCCUGAGUAGAGUGGCGAACGGGUGAGUAACACGUGGGUGAUCUACCUCUGAGUGGGGGAUAACCUUCCGAAAGGAGGGCUAAUACCGCAUGACGUUCCGGGUUUGAAGACCGGGAAACCAAAGCUGGGGACCGCAAGGCCUAGCGCUUGGAGAGGAGCCCGCGCCUGAUUAGCUGGUUGGUGGGGUAACGGCCUACCAAGGCAACGAUCAGUAGCCGGCCUGAGAGGGCGGACGGCCACACUGGGACUGAGACACGGCCCAGACUCCUACGGGAGGCAGCAGUGGGGAAUUGUUCGCAAUGGGCGCAAGCCUGACGACGCAACGCCGCGUGGAGGAUGAAGGUCUUCGGAUUGUAAACUCCUGUUGAUCGGGAAGAAUGGA